UUUAAUUUUGUAUAUUUUCUAAGUAAAAACAUCACUACCUCUACACUUAAAAAUAUUUAACCAAUAAACAUUUGGGGAAUAAAUUUCAUAAAUUUUGCCAUUAAAAUUCUAAAACGACACUUAUUUUGUUAAAAAAAAAACAAAUUUAUUCUGACACUUAAUUUGAAACAUAAAGAGUAAUAUUCUACAUUUAAAAAUUUAAUUAUAUUGAAAUUUUAAACAACAAAACAUGAAUCCAGAUUCAUAUUAUAUAUGUAAAUUGUUGUAAUAAGAUACAUCAAAAUACAAAAUUUUAACUUCAAAAAUAGAAAAACUCAAAUGUUAUAGUUCAAAACUUCAAAUGCGUCAAAUUGAUGUAACCGUUUGUUGGAUAAUAAAAUUGAUGAGCCAAAUAAGGCUAUCCCACACUAAAAAUUAUUUCAAGGUUUGAAAGCAUGGAUCAAAAUAUAGGUACAUAGAAAUACAAAUUACCAGGAUUUUCUCAUUUAUAAUAUAACCUUGAAAUAUACCAAUUUUUAAAAAAUAUUUAAAAUAUAAAGACAUUUAGUAACAUAAAUUAAAAUCAGAAAGUAUAAAACAAAAAAAUAUAGCUACAUAAAUCAGAAUGAACAUCCAAAAUUUUAUAUCCCUAUUUAGACUCAUGCCCUAAACUGAAUUUGAAAUUUUACCGGGUUCUUAACAUUGUCAUUUGAAACAAACCAAUAACCAAAAUAACUAAAUCCAAACCAAAAUAAAAAUUCAUAAAUAACCUAACAGUCACUAUUACUAUAUUCUUGAACAGAAAACCAAAAACUAC
rnacentral:lncRNA from 1 species